GUUCGCAUUCUUCUGGCUCUCUGUGUCGCUGUGAUUUUAGGAGAAGAGUGGGAUAAAUAUUACGCGAGUGAUGUAAGGGUCCACAGCCCACGCAUCCCAACAACGUCAUUGCCACUUCCUGUCCCGGUCAAACGUUCAGUUUGGAUAACUCAGGAGAAAAACAUCUGAAGGUCAGAAUGCAGGGAAGGAGUUAUGGUCAGGAAAAGGGAAAUCGAAAGCAGGGUCACAUUCUAACAGAGAAGCAAGAUAUUAUGCUGACCGUCUGAUACUUUUGAGAGGAAAUCAGUUAUGCUGACCCUUCAAGCAAUUGCUUUACAUCCUGUCGUGCCAUACUGAGAUGAUAUGCCCUGGAGACGUUGGAUCACAUAUCCUGUGUGUGUGUGUGUGCGUAGUGUCAUGGAAGUGGAACUGAGAGCGUUGUGCUUUAAUAAGCGCUCUGCUGUAUCGUGUGACCUCCUGGUCAUGGCCCCAGGGACCUCCAUUCUCAUUACAAACAUCAUCCAUGGUGCUUUGCCACAGAUGGGGGCAAGUUUAACAUUUCAAAUUCGCCAUCAGACAGUAUAUACAAGCCAGGACGUUAUGAAAUCUUCUUUCAUUCUUUGAAAGCAACUGAUUAUUCUCUGUGAAGUAGAAGGGAUAUGUAGUAACCACAUAAAUAGUUCCAUUUAAACAUGUCUGAGCAUUUUCUGGAUAUUUUAAAACCCUGCAUGAGUCAUGUCUUAAAUUUCUGAUUUCCUUUGCUGAUUGAUGA